rnacentral:lncRNA from 1 species
GUUGUCAUUUCUAUGUUAUAUUUAACAUUGCCAUUAAAGUGCGAGGUUUGGCAUGCCACAAAACCAGGUUCAACCCACCAUUUUUUCCUUUAAAAAUGUCCUGUACCAAGUCAGGAAUAUGGCCAUUGUUAUAUUAUAGUUCGUUUCUGUGUGUGUUACAAUUUAACGUUGCGUCGUUUGUUUUCUCUUAUUUUUGAGUGUAAAUUGACAUUGCGAUAAGACGUGUCACGGUACUUGUCUAUCCCAAAUUCAUGUAUUUGGUUUUGAUGUUAUAUUUGUUAUUCUCGGGGGAUUUUGUCUGAUGCUUGGUCCGUUUCUGUGUGUGUUAGUUACAUUGUAGUGUUGUGUCGUUGUUCUCCUCUUAUAUUUAUGCGUUUCCGUCAGUUUUAGUUUGUUACCCCGAUUUUGUUUUUU